rnacentral:rRNA from 1 species
AUUGAACGCUGGCGGCAGGCCUAACACAUGCAAGUCGAGCGGAGCGGCGGACGGGUGAGUAAUGCCUAGGAAUCUGCCUGGUCGUGGAGGAUAACGUCCGGUAACGGGCGCUAAUACCGCAUACUAUCAGAUCAGCUUAGGUCGGAUUAGCUAGUUGGUGGGGUAAAGGCCUACCAAGGCGACGAUCCGUAACUGGUCUGGGAGGAUGAUCAGUCACACUGGAAGUGAGACACGGUCCAGACUCCUACGGGAGGCAGCAGUGGGGAAUAUUGGACAAUGGGCGAAAGCCUGAUCCAGCCAUGCCGCGUGUGUGAAGAAGGUCUUCGGAUUGUAAAGCACGUUAAGUUGGGAGGCGGUACCAGCAGAAUAAGCACCGGCUAACUACGUGCCAGCAGCCGCGGUAAUUC